GAGUUUAAGAGCUCAACUAUUGUCAAUACAGCUAAGAACGUUUUAGCUGUUCGAAGAUUCACAAAUGAAUUUAGCAUUGAUAUUAUUUCAGAUGAUUAUUUUGCAGCAUUUCAUGAUUCAGAUCGCUUCCUACAAAGUUUCGCUCUCAUGGUUCAAUUCAAUUCUUAAAAAUGGUGGCUGUGGCGGCUGUUCUUGGCAGUGCUUCAUUUCCAGUGGCAGUUGUGGCGGAGGCUUCAAUCUCUUCUGUUGUGAUUUUAUUUUGAAGGAUUGCACAAGGAAAGUUGUCUCAACUCAACAUCAAGAGUUUGCUAUACCUGAUUUUCAAUUACAUUAAAGGCAAAACUCCUGACGAGAUUCACAAAACAUUCAACAUUAUGCAACUCUAUCCUUUGUCUUUCUUUGGAUUCAACAUUAUAUAACUCUGUCUUUUGUUUUUCUUUCUUUGGACAUGUGUUAACUUAAACUUGCUAAGUGUUAAACAAUGGUUAUUUAUCUGAUGUUUUGUUAUCUAUUGUAUUGUCAUUUUGAAUCGUGUUAUUUAUGUUAACAAAGUAUUUCUUUUAUAUAAAUAAUACAUGCUUAUGCAUCAUUUCUUUUGCCCUUAAUAUUUAAAAGUAAAUGAUUUUUAAUAAAUUUAAACCGUAAUUGAAAUCGUGUUUUUUUAGUUUAGUCUGAUUUUAUUUGAAAUCUAAUAUGGUUUAGUUUAUACUAAAAUUUUUCCAAAUUGUUUUUUUUUUUUUAUAGUUUGGUUUGAAAAAAGUUCUUAAAUCACACCAAACAAAACCGUGCACACCUCUACCUCCAACAACAAAGCAUUAAGGUUUUACAAUCGUAAUCUCUAGUUUAUUACAAUGGCAAGAAAACAAGAAAGCAUGCAAAACCCUCAGCCUUUUCUUUUUGUUGACGAUGGCAACUUGAUGGCUUCUUCAAAGAAACAAUCCAAACUUUCCAAACACCACCAAAAGGAAGAUAAAAUGAUUUCCUCGGGAAUUAGUUCCAAGAUUUUGAAGGAAGUGCUGAUUCAGCAGGAGGAGGUUCUUGAAGAGGCUGAAGAGUCUAAUAACAAGGCCUUUGUUUUCUCCAAAGAAGACUGGAGUUAGCAUUGAGUUGAAGAAGAAGAAGAGAAUAUUGAUGAUCUUGGUGGUUUCUGUGAGACUCAAAGUCAAUUGGGCAACCAUGAGAUGAGUGAUUACUGGAGACAUUCUUAUCAGAGGAUACUGGCCUGCAACUUACAAUUGCUGGCCUCAUCAUCAAGAAGAUCAAAGAAAACGAUGCAAACCUGGCUUCAGAAACUCGCCCCUUGCCUAAGUUGGAUGAAUCCUUCAUAAAUUUGUAUGAAAGAUUAGAGAUGAUAUCCAGAAGAAUAAGAAGCUCCAUUUUGCUCUAUAUCAAGCUUUGAAAAAAUCACUGUAUAAACCUGCUGCAUUCAACAAGGGAAUAUUGUUCCCUUUGUGUAAGUCUGAGACAUGUUACCUCAGUGAAGCUGUCAUCAUCUGGAGUGUUACUGAAAAUGUUUGCAUUCCUAUGCCUCUUUCAAGGUGUGUGUUGUACUACUAGGUCUUCUAAACACUUGGGCAUUGUCGGAAAAAAAAAAAAGGAUUAGAUCUAGUGGAUGUGUGGUAAUUAAAAAUGUCAGUGAAAGGUGGUCAAGAGAAUUACCGAUGCCUGCCAAAAACUCAACUUGAUAUUAGAUACUUAUGAAUGAUGCUAGUUUUAAAAUUUUGAAAGUUGGUAUAGAAAUUUAUAUUCUUUGUAAUUCUAGCAAUAAAAUUCAUGUGAAUUGAAUCAUAAGGCAAUUUUUUCUACAUGAACACACAUUCCACAUUUGAGCUUUUGAUAGUUUUCAGUAUGAAUGGGUUCUUCAUUUGAUGCAUUUCAUUUUCCCCGGUCAUAUUCAAAAACUGUAUUCCUUGACUUCUCUUACCAAGACCCAUUUCUGUGAUCAAUAAAACAAUUGAGGAAGACAGGUUUGAUAUUCCAGAUGUACCUUUGAGGAGUAUUGAAUAUCAACUACCCACUGAUGAGGUGAGUGCUUGGUAUGUCGUUGGUUAUAUGUAAUUGAUAGACUUUAAUUUUAAUAACUGUAUUAUUUAUUUCUGGGUUUGCUUGGAUACCAAUUUCAUGUGAAAAGUUAGAAGCUUUAGGAUUGUUCUAUUCGUGGUCACAAAAGCAGUUUUUGUUCUUGAAUAGGCAAACUCUUUUGGUGUACAUUUCCCGAAUACCUUUAUGAACGAGGUUGAAGAAAGCCCAAAUUUAAAUGUGUCUUUAUUUUUAUUCUUGUGAAGACUUUUUCAAGAAUGUAGACUGGGAAGGAUGUGGAUGUGCCAUUAUCUUCCCAUGGCGGCUACGUGCUUGCCAUCUGUUUUUUAAAUUCUGUGUAAACACCCUUGUGUUCUUAAGCUAGUUAUAUUUUCACUUGCUGGUGCUGUUCUCCACAACCGAAAUUCUUGAAGAGAACUGUAGAUAUCUUUGUUUGAGGCACUGCAGUGUUGUUCUUAAUUUUAUGAAGGAUUUUCAAAAGA